ensembl:snoRNA small nucleolar RNA SNORA84
GCCUGGUGGUUCCUGGAAUCAGCUGUGAGGUGCUGAAAUCUGGGGUGUUUAAACAGGCACAUAUUAACCCUCCGAUUAUAUGCAUGAAGGCUGUCUCUCCCCAUACAGCCUCCAUAGCCCGGUCUCAGGGACAGGA